rnacentral:rRNA from 1 species
UACGGAGGGUGCGAGCGUUAAUCGGAAUUACUGGGCGUAAAGCGUGCGCAGGCGGUUUUGUAAGUUUGUCGUGAAAUCCCCGGGCUCAACCUGGGAAUGGCGAUGAAGACUGCAAGGCUAGAAUCUGGCAGAGGGGGGUAGAAUUCCGCGUGUAGCAGUGAAAUGCGUAGAUAUGCGGAGGAACACCGAUGGCGAAGGCAAUCCCCUGGGCCUGCAC